AACGAACGCUGGCGGCAUGCCUAACACAUGCAAGUCGAACGAGACCUUCGGGUCUAGUGGCGCACGGGUGCGUAACGCGUGGGAACCUGCCCUUAGGUUCGGAAUAACUCCCCGAAAGGGGUGCUAAUACCGGAUAAUGUCUUCGGACCAAAGAUUUAUCGCCUUUGGAUGGGCCCGCGUUGGAUUAGCUAGUUGGUAGGGUAAAAGCCUACCAAGGCGACGAUCCAUAGCUGGUCUGAGAGGAUGAUCAGCCACACUGGGACUGACACGGCCCAGACUCCUACGGGAGGCAGCAGUGGGGAAUAUUGGACAAUGGGCGAAAGCCUGAUUCAGCAAUGCCGCGUGAGUGAUGAAGGCCUUAGGGUUGUAAAGCUCUUUUACCCGGGAUGAUAAUGACAGUACCGGGAGAAUAAGCUCCGGCUAACUCCGUG
rnacentral:rRNA from 1 species